rnacentral:tRNA from 1 species
GUACCCGUAGCUCAAUUGGAUAGAGUGCUUGGCUACGGACCAAGAGGUUGGGGGUUCGAGUCCCUCCGGGUACGCCA